GUAUGACUGUAGCCUUGUGACUAGCCUACAGUAUUUUAGGCCUACUUCAAAAUGUUUUUUCUGUGUUUUCGAUCAACUGAUAACUAUAAAAACAGAGAUAUAGAAGACCGAAAGCUUAAAAAGACAGGUGGUGGUCCACGAGAAAAAAAUAUUAAAAGCUUCAGAAGAAACUGCCUUAACAGCAUCACUGAUGAGGGCCGAGUUAGCAGUGGCUGGUGAUUUUUACGAGACCUUCCGCAGUCACCCAGUAGAUGAAGAAAUAAUUCCUUAUAGAAUGUGCAGAUAGUUUUGCCUGUUCCAACCCCAGGGCCAUCAACUGUGCUCACCAGUCAUUGUUCCUGCCUCGACAGUGAAUGCUCCUACCUCACCAGUGAAUGCUCCUGCCUCACCAGUCAUUGUUGCUUCACCAGUCAUUGUUCCUGCCUCACCAGUCCUUGCUCCUGCCUCACCAACACUGGAGCAGGUUCAGAUAUGACUGUAGCCUACAGUAUUUAAGGCCUACUUCAAAAAAUGUUUUGUUUGUUUGUUUUCGAUCUACUGAU